rnacentral:rRNA from 1 species
CCUACGGGAGGCAGCAGUGGGGGAUAUUGCACAAUGGGGGGAACCCUGAUGCAGCGACGCCGCGUGGGUGAAGAAGCGCCUCGGCGCGUAAAGCCCUGUCAGCAGGGAAGAAAAUGACGGUACCUGAAGAAGAAGCCCCGGCUAACUACGUGCCAGCAGACGCGGUAAUACGUAGGGGGCAAGCGUUAUCCGGAUUUACUGGGUGUAAAGGGGGCGCAGACGGCGAUGCAAGCCAGGAGUGAAAGCCCGGGGCCCAACCCCGGGACUGCUCUUGGAACUGCGUGGCUGGAGUGCAGGAGGGGCAGGCGGAAUUCCUGGUGUAGCGGUGGAAUGCGUAGAUAUCAGGAGGAACACCGGUGGCGAAGGCGGCCUGCUGGACUGCAACUGACGUUGAGGCCCGAAAGCGUGGGGAGCAAACAGGAUUAGAUACCCUAGUAGUC